rnacentral:lncRNA from 1 species
AGUGGUAGAGUAAUGCAGUGUGAGAAAGAGUCAGCUGGAUAUUGCUGUCUGGGAGAUAGAAGAGAGCCACAAACAAAGGAAUGCAGGUGGUCUCUCGAAACUGCACAGGGCAUGAAAAUGGAUCCUCCCCUGGAGCCUCCAGGGAUAGAAAUCAGUGACACCUUGAGACCCAGUUUGGACUUCUGACCUCCAGAACUGCAACGUGAUACAUUUGCAUUGGUGUGAGCCACUAAUUUUGAGAACAAACACCGAUAAUGUUUACUCUCUCAAUUUGGGGACAUAUAAACAAGGAAAUGCCAAUAACUGAGUUGCAAUUUGAAUGCUUCUCUGAGUGCAUUGAAGUGAGAAAAUAUCUAGAAAGUAAGCCAGGAGAUGUGUAUGAACUGAGAUGGAGUGAGCACCCCCGACAUGUGGAGAGCUUGCAGAAGAGCAUCCUAAAAGCUCACAGGUGCUUCACUGGUUCAAGCCCUGCCCCCUCCUCUUUUUACUGUCACUACAGCUUUGCCUUUUCCAGACUGUCACAUAAUUGGAAUCAUACGAUUGAUCUUCCGUUCACCUAUGGAAGGAAAUUUUAUUUGCUUCCAGUUUGGGGCAAUUACAAAUAAAACUGCUAGAAAUAUUCAUAUGCAGAUGAACAUAAGUUUUCAAGUCAAUUAGGUGAAUACCUAAGUGCACAAUUCCUGGACCAUAUGCUAAGAGAAUGUUUAGCUCAGUAAGAACCUGCCAAACUCUUUUCCAAAGUGUCGGUGCCAUUUGCGGUGAAUGA